AAACUCCUUCUCUCUCCUAAUUAUUAAUAAUAAUAAUCCAUACGUAUACAUGAUUUCUCAUAAAUUUUUACCAUGUGACAGCACUAUAGUCUCUCAUUUUCAAAAUUUCUAUUCUUCAAUCACAACGACCGCUCGCCUUCCUCGCAACAUCUACCUCUUUGACUUUCCGUCUCAUUAAUUCGUUCCUUGUAACGUCUGCCUCUUUGGCUUCCCAUCUCAUUAAUUCCUUCCCCGUAACAUCUGCCUCUUCAGCUUUCCGUCUCAUUAAUUCCUUCUCUGUAACGUCGCUGCUUCCACUUUCUGUCUCAUUAGUUUCUAUUUUCUAAGA
rnacentral:lncRNA from 1 species